UUUCGCAAUGCCCGAAAGGGUGACGAAGCGACGCCGCGUGUGGGAAGAAGGCCUUCGGGUUGUAAACCACUGUCGGGAGUUAGGAAAUGUAAGGGUGCUAAUAGUAUCCUUACUUGACUAAGGCUCCGGAGGAAGCCACGGCUAACUCUGUGCCAGCAGCCGCGGUAAUACAGAGGCGGCAAGCGUUGUUCGGAAUUAUUGGGCGUAAAGAGCACGUAGGCGGCCUUGUAAGUCAGUUGUGAAAGCCUUCUGCUUAACGGAAGAACAGCAGCUGAUACUGCAAGGCUAGAGUGCGGAAGGGGAGAGCGGAACUUCUGGUGGAGCGGUGAAAUGCGUAGAUAUCAGAAGGAACACCGGCGGCGAAGGCGACUCUCUGGUCCGUAACUGACGCUGAGUGUGCGAAAGCUAGGGGAGCAAACGGGAUUAGAUACCCCGGUAGUCCUAGCCGUAAACGAUGGGCACUAAGUAGAGGGGUUUUA
rnacentral:rRNA from 1 species